UACGUAGGGUGCAAGCGUUGUCCGGAAUUAUUGGGCGUAAAGAGCUCGUAGGCGGUUUGUCGCGUCGACUGUGAAAACCUGGGGCUUAACUCUGGGCCUGCAGUCGAUACGGGCAGACUUGAGUUCGGUAGGGGAGACUGGAAUUCCUGGUGUAGCGGUGAAAUGCGCAGAUAUCAGGAGGAACACCAAUGGCGAAGGCAGCUCGCUGGGACGUGACUGACGCUGAGACGCGAAAGCGUGGGGAGCAAACAGG
rnacentral:rRNA from 1 species